ensembl:lncRNA
CCUCGAUACGCGCGUCACGGAAACGCUCCCUCAAUUACGGUGCGUUCACACCGAACGCGAUAGAGGCGGCCAGAGCGUCAGGUUUACAUGUAAAGUUAAUGGAAAGGCGCGAUGACCCGCGAUUGCGGCUCCCGCGAAAAUUCGGAAGCAGAUUUGCGUCGCGAAAACGCCUGAAACGCGCGUGAGUGUAGCGCGUUUCAGGCGUUUGACUCGCGAAAAAAACCACACGCGUGAGUUUUUGUGUUGCAUUUUGUGCAUACACGCGUUUCGCGUCCCCCGCUCGAGUUGGAAAAAUCUGAACUCCAGCGUCAAAUCGCGCCGCGACAACCAAUCAGGAGCCUGGUGAUGUGGCUGUUACCUAGUUCAAAGGGGCAGAUCCAGCCAAAGCCAUUCAUUCUGCAUUCAUCAUGGAGGAAAAACUAAUCAGUGCUGUGGCAAAUCAUCCCGAAUUAUACGAUGCUACCUACUAUUUCUACCGAGACAGGAAUAAAAAGGACCUAGCUUGGAGACAAAUCAGUGAGGAGAUCGGGCAACCUGAGUCAAGUAAUCAUGCAGCAGAGUCCUCCCAUGUUGCUUCUCCUGACUCCCCAGUCCCUGGUCCCUCCACUCCUGCUGCUGCACCCACAGGCCCACAGAGGAGGACAGCUCGAAGGCGGGCGAGGGAAGGGUCCCAGGACGGUCCAUCGGCGGUGGAGCUGGCUAUCCUGGAGACCCUAAAGAGGCCACGUCCGUCUGCAACUGAACAUUUCCUCCUCAGCCUUGUUCCUGCUCUGGAGAGCAUGCCGCCUCAGACACGAGAAUUCGUGAAAUUCCAAAUUUAUAAAUCAGUUUUUGAAAACAGCACAGCUGUGCUAAAUUUGGAAACAUUGGACCCUAAUGAUCAGUAGUUUUCUGAUGAGGCAGCAGCUCUCCAGAGCAGAAACAAUGUUCUUAUGUUUAUCCUCCUUCUCCCUGAGGCUCUUCCACUCCAAGCUGGGUCCUUUUUAUUCCUGUCUGUCUGUAAAUAGUUAGAUUUCAUAUAUUUAUGUUAUUUAUGUCCUUUUGUUACUGAA